UGUGACAUGCUGAGUGUACGUCUCCCAUCACCCAAAUGCAAGCUCCUUGAGAGCAGCGACGUGGUAUUUCCAAUGCCUGGAACAGUACGUGGCACCUGAUGAGUACAGUCAAAGGCUGGAAUGUUGGCGUGAUGGUUGAAGCUGUAACAGCCAUCUUCGACUACAAAAUGGAAGCUGCAUGCUACAAAUGACAGAAGACAAGAUCAAAAGAACCUGUGUUCCCAGCACCACAGAACUGUCCCUAUGGAAAUAGACAUGACUGUUACAUAAGAAAGAAAUAUACCCUACUAUGUUUAAGCCUCUGUUAUUUUAGCAUGUGUUGUAGCAGUUGUAUACUAAGUAACUAAUGAGAAAGAAUAUUUUGUGCCCUGGUAAAGAUGGAUACUUCUAUAUGUUAUGAGAACAAUUUGAUGAGGUAAUUGUAAUUUAGUAGAAUAAUAUCAAAUAUUAAUGUCAAAUGACUAGUUUGGCAUUGCCACAUAGUAAUUGUUGGGCAAGUUAUUAACCUGUGUCUCAGUUUCCUCACUGGUAGAAUAACAAUAACAGACAAUCGUACUAGUGUCUAACGUUUUACUGAACAUGUAGCUUGGUUCAGCGCCACACAUUAUUUGAAUUAAGUAGAAUAAGAGAGUCCUGAGUAAAUAUAACCCAAAUGUAAAUUAUUUUUAAACUUUA
rnacentral:lncRNA from 1 species